UACGUAGGGUGCAAGCGUUAAUCGGAAUUACUGGGCGUAAAGCGCGUGUAGGCGGCCCUGCAAGUCGGGUGUGAAAUCCCACGGCUCAACCGUGGAAGUGCACUCGAAACUGCAGGGCUAGAGUCCUGGAGAGGAAGGUGGAAUGCUUGGUGUAGAGGUGAAAUUCGUAGAUAUCAAGCGGAACACCGGUGGCGAAGGCGGCCUUCUGGACAGUGACUGACGCUGAGACGCGAAAGCGUGGGGAGCAAACAGGG
rnacentral:rRNA from 1 species